rnacentral:rRNA from 1 species
UACGUAGGGGGCAAGCGUUGUCCGGAUUUAUUGGGCGUAAAGAGCGUGUAGGCGGCUUGGUAGGUCUUGCGUCAAAACCUGAGGCUCAACCUCAGUUCGCGUGGGAAACCAUCUAGCUAGAGUCCGGAAGAGGAGAGCGGAAUUCCCAGUGUAGCGGUGAAAUGCGCAGAUAUUGGGAAGAACACCAGUGGCGAAGGCGGUUCUCUGGGACGGUACUGACGCUGAGACGCGAAAGCGUGGGGAGCGAACAGG